CGGAGUAUAGCAUAUAUUAAUGCCUUUUACCUACACUAAAAUAAAGUUUCUAAACUGCUCCGCAA
rnacentral:tRNA from 1 species